AAUGAAUGUUGGCGGCGUGGAUUAGGCAUGCAAGUCGGACGAGAAUCUCCCGCAAGGGAGAGGACAGUGGCAAACGGAGCAGUAAGGCGUAGGCGACGUACCCUCCGGACCGGGAUAGUCAGGGGAAACUCUGAGUAAUACCGGAUGAUCUCUGCGAGCAUGAUCGUUUGCAGAGCAAAGGUGUGAUUCCACCGGUGGAGCGGCUUACGUAGUAUUAGCUUGUUGGUGAGGUAACGGCUCACCAAGGCGAUGAUGCUUAGGGGAUGUGAGAGCAUGAGCCCCGCUACUGGGACUGAGAUACUGCCCAGACACUUACGGGUGGCUGCAGUCGAGAAUCUUCGGCAAUGGGCGCAAGCCUGACCGAGCGACGCCGCGUGCGGGAUGAAGGCCCUUGGGUUGUAAACCGCUGUCAGAGGGGAUGAAGUGCCGGUGAGCUAUCUCAUCGGUUUGACAUGGCCUCAGAGGAAGCACGGGCUAAGUUCGUGCCAGCAGCCGCAGUAAUAC
rnacentral:rRNA from 1 species